AUUGAACGCUGGCGGCAGGCCUAACACAUGCAAGUCGAACGAGUGGCGGACGGGUGAGUAAUGUCUGGGAAACUGCCUGAUGGGGGGGGAUAACUACUGGAAACGGUAGCUAAUACCGCAUACCAUCAGAUGUGCCCCGAUGGGAGUAGCUAGUUGGUUGGGUAACGGCUCACCAAGGCGACGAUCCCUAGCUGGUCUGAUAGGAUGACCAGCAACACUGGAACUGAGACACGGUGCAGACUCCUACGUGAGACAGCAGUGGGGAAUAUUGCACAAUUGGCGCAAGCCAGAUGCAGCCAUGCCGCGUGUAUGAAGAAGGCCUUCGGGUUGUAAAGUACUUUCAGCGGGGAGGCGUUACCAGCAGAAGAAGCACCGGCUAACUCCGUGCCAGCAGCCGCGGUAAUUC
rnacentral:rRNA from 1 species